UACAGAGGUCUCAAGCGUUGUUCGGAUUCAGUUGGGCGUAAAGGGUGCGUAGGUGGCGCCGUAAGUCGGGUGUGAAAUUUCGGAGCUUAACUCCGAAACUGCAUUCGAUACUGCGGUGCUUGAGGACUGGAGAGGAGACUGGAAAUUCAUGGUGUAGCAGUGAAAAUGCGUAGAGAUCAUGAGGAAGACCAGUGGCGAAGGCGGGUCUCUGGACAGUUCCAUGACACUGGAGGCAACGAAGGCCAGGGGAGCAAACGGG
rnacentral:rRNA from 1 species